GGUCACGUACGAUCACCGAAGUUAAGCAACAUCGAGCCGGGUCAGUACUGAGAUGGGUGACCACUAGGGAAUAUAAAGUAUUGUAAG